GACGAACGCUGGCGGCGUGCUUAACACAUGCAAGUCGAACGGAAAGGCCCUGCUUUUGUGGGGUGCUCGAGUGGCGAACGGGUGAGUAACACGUGAGUAACCUGCCCUUGACUUUGGGAUAACUUCAGGAAACUGGGGCUAAUACUGGAUAGGAGCUCCUGCUGCAUGGUGGGGGUUGGAAAGUUUCGGCGGUUGGGGAUGGACUCGCGGCUUAUCAGCUUGUUGGUGGGGUAGUGGCUUACCAAGGCUUUGACGGGUAGCCGGCCUGAGAGGGUGACCGGCCACAUUGGGACUGAGAUACGGCCCAGACUCCUACGGGAGGCAGCAGUGGGGAAUAUUGCCCAAUGGGCGGAAGCCUGAUGCAGCAACGCCGCGUGCGGGAUGACGGCCUUCGGGUUGUAAACCGCUUUCGCCUGUGACGAAGCGUGAGUGACGGUAAUGGGUAAAGAAGCACCGGCUAACUACGUG
rnacentral:rRNA from 1 species